rnacentral:rRNA from 1 species
AGAAUCAACGCUGGCGGCGUGCCUAACACAUGCAAGUCGAACGAGAAAGGGGAGCAAUCCCUGAGUAAAGUGGCGACCGGGUGAGUAACACGUGACUAACCUACCUUCGAGUGGGGGAUAACCUCGGGAAACCGAGGCUAAUACCGCAUAACAUCGUGAGAUCAAAGCAGUAAUGCGCUGGAAGAGGGGGUCGCGGCUGAUUAGCUAGUUGGCGGGGUAAUGGCCCACCAAGGCGAAGAUCGGUAGCCGGCCUGAGAGGGCGCACGGCCACACUGGAACUGAAACACGGUCCAGACUCCUACGGGAGGCAGCAGUGGGGAAUUUUGCGCAAUGGGGGAAACCCUGACGCAGCAACGCCGCGUGGAGGAUGAAGUCCCUUGGGACGUAAACUCCUUUCGACCAAGACGAUAAUGACGGUACUGGUGGAAGAAGCACCGGCUAACUCUGCGCCAGCAGCCGC